rnacentral:rRNA from 1 species
GAUGAACGCUGGCGGCGUGCCUAAUACAUGCAAGUCGAGCGAACGGACGAGAAGCUUGCUUCUCUGAUGUUAGCGGCGGACGGGUGAGUAACACGUGGAUAACCUACCUAUAAGACUGGGAUAACUUCGGGAAACCGGAGCUAAUACCGGAUAAUAUUUUGAACCGCAUGGUUCAAAAGUGAAAGACGGUCUUGCUGUCACUUAUAGAUGGAUCCGCGCUGCAUUAGCUAGUUGGUAAGGUAACGGCUUACCAAGGCAACGAUGCAUAGCCGACCUGAGAGGGUGAUCGGCCACCCGGGAACUGGAACACGGACCAGACUCCUACGGGAGGCAGCAGUAGGGAAUCUGCCGCAAUGGUCGAAAGCCUGACGGAGCAACGCCGCGUGAGUGGUGAAGGUCUUCGGAUCGUAAAACUCUGUUAUUAGGGAAGAACAUAUGUGUAAGUAGCUGUGCACAUCUUGACGGUACCUAAUCAGAAAGCCACGGCUAACUACGUG